rnacentral:lncRNA from 1 species
AUUGAGUGUCUCUUUCUCUCUGGUGAUUAAGAAGAAGUUUUCAGAAAGGCUCCUUAGGAUGCCAUUAGAGACACUGUAUUCACGAACAUGAUACCUUUGCUGUGUUUCGGUUGAGAUCCUGACACCUCACUUCUGGUCAUUGUUCAUGUGGAAGGUCAUUGUUCAUUAUUUGAACUGGGAAAAGGGAUGGACUUGCAAGAAGAUUAGGAGGGUACCAUAACACAUUCCCUACAGUAAUUAGGGCUUCCCUUAACAAAGCCAAGGCUGGCACCUGGGUAGAUGUUCUUUGUUGAUUACGAAGUCUUAAUGUGGACUAGCUUCAGAAGCUUCUCAGAGCCAAACCGUCAUCUCUUUGCCUUUCUGCUACGAAGACCACACUCCCAUCCAGGCCACCCACCAGGUUCCAUUUGGUGGAACCCCCACCAAGGACACCUUUAGCUGUUGAUUGCUUUAUAGAAUAACCGGGCUGGAUGACAGCCCUGAGCAGUUUGCCAGUGUGGUCUAGUUUUCUAGGUUUCCCUGGUGAGUCAACAGGAAUGUAUCUACUUGUCUCUGGGAAUUGCAGUUCUACAUCAUCACCUAAAGUCUUCCAGAUUUUCCUGAAGAGAGGCAAAUGUGUAAAACACAACUGAAAGCUGACUGUUGAAUUAACAUCGUGGUGAACAAGCCGUGAUUCCAGAAAGGGGCCUUUGUUGAAUCUGUAUUUGGCUACACCAAUAGAAGAAAGCCAGUCAACAUCAUGUUGUGAUCGUCCCUGGCUCUUUUCUUCCGAGCUGUUUAUGAAGCAGGGAUCUCACAGGAAGCUGGGCUGUAAAGUUCUGGGCAGAGAUCUUGGAUGUGAGUCAUGGAAAUGAACCUGAACUGAGAGUUGCUUUCCAAAGACUAUCUCACCACUGGGAUUCAGGCUGAACAAAGGAGUUAGAUUCAAGUCCUUUCUCCUGAACUGUGCUGACCACACCUUUCAUACCAAGAUACGUUGAUUGCACCCAGAGACCAAAGGACACCGUGAUUUGAUCCCCUGAGCUGAAUGCUUUCCAUGUUCCAGGCAGUGUGACAGUGUCUCUCACGUGAGAAAGGGUCUCUAUUAUGUAGCUCUGGAUGUCCUGAAACUUGCUAUUGAGACCAGGCUGGCCUAGACCUUGUGGAUAUCUACCUGUCUCUGUUUCCUGAUCACUGAUAUUAAAGGUGUGUGCUACCACGCCAGCUUGCA